GGAGUUGUAACUCAGUGGUAGAGCACUUGCCUGGCAUGCAUGAGGCCCUGGGUUCAAUCCUCAGCACUGCA
rnacentral:tRNA from 1 species